AGAAUGGUAUGCUAACUUCCUAUGUGACACACUAAGAAAACAGUUAAACAGGAGUGGAAAAUAGUAAUUGACAUGGUUAAUGGAAAGAGGUCCCCCAUUAAUACUGUUCAUCCAAAGUUUUUCUUGCCAUAAUUAGUGAUCAACUGAAAAGUUAGCCACUUAGAUCCACAUGAAUCACCAAGAGAUACCUAUUAGAGUUUCAUCCAAGCUUUCAAUUUUCAGAUCUGGUGUAAGACAAACACACUCUUUGUCAUCUUUCUCAUCUUUAGAUCUUUGGAGUCAUAUGCUUGAAUUGAUCAGACUGAAUAGUACAACAGCAGCUUGCUAGUCAAAUUAAUCAUUCAUCCUACAUACCCAGUUCAUUAGAGUAGAAAGUGGGAAUCUGUUGCAACUUUGUCUACAUCACCUACUAAUCAAAUCGUUAGUAUAGUGAUUCUAAAGGGCAGAAACUUUGAGGAUUUUUAGGUUUCCGGCGGUUUCUUAACAGUUUUUCGACGACCUUAGGAAUAUUUUUCGGCGCCACUUCAAAGUUUUGAUCAGAAUUUUUUUUUUUUUGGGGGGGG
rnacentral:lncRNA from 1 species